GCUUGCAUGAGCGCCCCUAUCGCGCGAAUGUCGCAGUGGCGCGCACGCGCGAGGGCAGCGAUCAUCUGUCAUCACGCGCUUCCCGCGUUUCUGCAGCGAGUUGAGGAAACGCUCCGUAACCGCCAAAACCAGCCUAAAUCUCCACAGGCCAUUAAAGUUACCUCACCAUGGAGAGAUUAAACACACUUCCUGAGGAAAUAAGAACAAAAGUCUUUCUGUCUCCUGGCAACAAAAGAACAAAUUUAUGGAGAGUGGAAAAGAGAAAUGUGACAGCAUGUGGCACCCAAAACAUAUGCUUUAUUUUUUUUUACCGUGCCUAUUCAAAGUUUCCCUCUGCCGUUUCUUCAAAAACACAUCAUGCACUGAAUAAUGGCCUUGAGACUCUCCAUUAUCUUGAAUUCAAUGUGUUGUUGUUUUCAGGCACAAUCUGCACUCAUCGUAAUUGGACAGCCGGGCCUGGUGUGUGUAUUUCUUCUCCGAAAAACAAAGUCAGCUCUGCGACUUGGUGAACUGGGAGAGUAAAGUUUUCCUAUGGGAUAUGGACCCAGCACUGUGGACCGGGGGCGAAAACAAGUCGAAGUGACUUGGUUUGAGAUGGAACCUCCAAUUCCACAUGGCUUUAGAAGAUCCAGUCGGGGAGGCAACAAAGUGGAUGGACUAAAAUUGGCUGGAUGCUGGGAGAAGGAGGUUUAUUGUUAGGGCUAUGGAGAAGCCUCACUGCCUGAGGUGGGAGACAAUGAUCUUCAAUUACCAACAACUCUCAGUCCAAUUUACAGCGGACAUGAGAGUCGCAAGGACGAAAGAAUUGUCUUCAGAGGAGAGCUGCGGAUUGUAAGAGGCUGAAAGUUUCAGAAGUGAUCUGCGCACAGAGAAAAGUAAGGCCACGACACUUUGGAUACAGAAAUGCGAAAAACCUUCACAAUCCAGACAUUUCAGGGCGCAGUGAAUCAGAAAUGUUUUGCAUUAUCCACCGAGACGCACUCAAGUUUCUCUCUAAUCACGUGCAUCCGACCUCAAACAGGUUUCAAAUCGGACAGAAGGAGCAGGUCCACCGGGAGACCGCCUGUCAGUAUUCAUCUUCUAAAUGAGAGCGCCCUUCCAUACUCCAUCAUGUAGCCUGUCUUCUGUUCUCCGGCAACUACCGGCUCAGCUUUCCUCAGCAGCUACAACAUUUCUCAACAAAACGCUGUGUUUUCCAACUGUACCCCAACUGUCUUUACAAAGCCAUCAAGCGAGCGCAGAAGAGCUGCCUCCGCAGCCUUGGAGGCAGAGGAAACACUAUAGCUCACCGUGCCUGUAGGACUCAUUCAGGUGUGUAACAAUAUCUGACAAACCUCCACAAUAAAUGCAAGCGAUGUUCCUGUGUGUAUAUAUAUAACAGUACACAAAACGCUGUCAAA